rnacentral:rRNA from 1 species
CCUACGGGAGGCAGCAGUGAGGAAUAUUGGUCAAUGGACGAGAGUCUGAACCAGCCAAGUAGCGUGAAGGAUGACUGCCCUAUGGGUUGUAAACUUCUUUUAUAAAGGAAUAAAACGUGGCACGUGUGCCUUUUUGCAUGUACUUUAUGAAUAAGGAUCGGCGAACGCCGCGCCAGCAGCCGCGGUAAUACGGAGGGUCCGAGCGUUAUCCGGAUUUAUUGGGUUUAAAGGGAGCGUAGGUGGGUUGUUAAGUCAGUUGUGAAAGUUUGCGGCUCAACCGGAAAAUUGCAAUUGAUACUGGCAGUCUUGAGUACAGUUGAGGUAGGCGGAAUUCGUGGUGUAGCGGUGAAAGGCUGAGAGAUCACGAGGAACCCCGAUGGCGAAGGCAGCUUACUAAACUGUGACUGACAUUGAUGCGCGAAAGUGUGGGUAUCAAACAGGAUUAGAUACCCUAGUAGUC